CACCGACCCCCGUUGACAAAAUCGCGAAUACUUGCGAGUCUGUUUUUGGAAACCCGAAAAUUAUUUAGAUCGCGUCGGACAAUAUCGGACGUCCGCAUAUCCCCGGUGCAAGUUAAAAUCACGGGAGCCAACCAAUAAAAGCAAUCGGGGUAACAUCUAAACGCUACACAGUGUCGAAUUGUCGCGUUUUGUUUUCCGAGAGCGUAAGAUACGGUGUAAUUCAAUGGUCCGAUU